UACGGAGGGGGCUAGCGUUGUUCGGAAUUACUGGGCGUAAAGCGCACGUAGGCGGCUUUGUAAGUUAGAGGUGAAAGCCCGGAGCUCAACUCCGGAAUUGCCUUUAAGACUGCAUCGCUUGAAUCCAGGAGAGGUGAGUGGAAUUCCGAGUGUAGAGGUGAAAUUUCGUAGAUAUUCGGAAGAACACCAGUGGCGAAGGCGGCUCACUGGACUGGUAUUGACGCUGAGGUGCGAAAGCGUGGGGAGCAAACAGG
rnacentral:rRNA from 1 species